rnacentral:rRNA from 1 species
CGUGUAGGCGGUCUCUUAAGUCAGAUGUGAAAGCCCGGGGCUUAACCUCGGAAGUGCAUUUGAAACUAAGGGACUUGAGUAUGGGAGAGGGAAGUGGAAUUCCUGGUGUAGCGGUGAAAUGCGUAGAUAUCAGGAGGAACACCGGUGGCGAAGGCGACUUCCUGGACCAAUACUGACGCUGAGGCGCGAAGGCGUGGGGAGCAAACAGGAUUAGAUACCCUGGUAGUCC